AGGGAGCGUCCGGCAUCGAGUGCGGCAUGCCGAAAGGCGUACGGCACGAGAGGGAACCCGGUGAGAUUCCGGGACUGUCCCGCAGCGGUGAGCAGGAACGACCGCCGUCAUCAGCACUGGCCCGUCAUGGGCUGGGAAGCGACGGCCAGUAGGAGCACGAAUACGUGCGCGCCUGUGAGUCCGAAGACCUGCCAGGUGUACCGAGCGCGC
rnacentral:ncRNA from 1 species